rnacentral:rRNA from 1 species
CCGGGGGGGGCAAGCGUUGUUCGGAAUUACUGGGCGUAAAGGGCGCGUAGGCGGCCUGCUAAGUCGGACGUGAAAUCCCCCGGCUCAACCGGGGAACUGCGUCCGAUACUGGUGGGCUCGAAUCCGGGAGAGGGAUGUGGAAUUCCAGGUGUAGCGGUGAAAUGCGUAGAUAUCUGGAGGAACACCGGUGGCGAAGGCGGCAUCCUGGACCGGCAUUGACGCUGAGGCGCGAAAGCCAGGGGAGCAAACGGGAUUAGAUACCCCGGUAGUCCUGGCCCUAAACGAUGAGUGCUUGGUGUGGCGGGUAUCGAUCCCUGCCGUGCCGAAGCUAACGCAUUAAGCACUCCGCCUGGGGAGUACGGUCGCAAGGCUG